UACGUAGGGGGCAAGCGUUGUCCGGAUUUACUGGGCGUAAAGCGUGUGCAGGCGGGGGGGCAAGGGGGGUAUGAAAUCGCCAGGCUAAACCUGGCGCGGUUAUGCCAGACUGUCUAUCUGGAGUGCGAGAGAGGGGCGUGGAAUUCCGGGUGUAGUGGUGAAAUGCGUAGAGAUCCGGAGGAACCCCAGAGGCGAAGGCGGCGCCCUGGCUCGCAACUGACGCUCAGACACGACAGCAUGGGGAGCGAACGGG
rnacentral:rRNA from 1 species